GACGAACGCUGGCGGCGUGCCUAAUACAUGCCAGUAGAACGCUGAAGGAAGGAGCUUGCUCUUUCUGGAUGAGUUGCGAACGGGUGAGUAACGCGUAGGUAACCUGCCUGGUAGCGGGGGAUAACUAUUGGAAACGAUAGCUAAUACCGCAUAAAAUUGAUUAUUGCAUGAUAGUCAAUUAAAAGGUGCAACUGCACCACUACCAGAUGGACCUGCGUUGUAUUAGCUAGUUGGUGGGGUAACGGCUCACCAAGGCGACGAUACAUAGCCGACCUGAGAGGGUGAUCGGCCACACUGGGACUGAGACACGGCCCAGACUCCUACGGGAGGCAGCAGUAGGGAAUCUUCGGCAAUGGACGGAAGUCUGACCGAGCAACGCCGCGUGAGUGAAGAAGGUUGUCGGAUCGUAAAGCUCUGUUGUAAGAGAAGAACGAGUGUGAGAGUGGAAAGUUCACACUGUGACGGUAUCUUACCAGAAAGGGACGGCUAACUACGUG
rnacentral:rRNA from 1 species